rnacentral:tRNA from 1 species
GGAGAUACAGCUCAGUGGCAGAGCACUUGCCUACCACGAAUGAGGCUCUGGGUUCUAAUCCCAGCACCA